rnacentral:lncRNA from 1 species
UGGCCAAUUUCACAUAAAUCACAAAUCAGAUCUCGAGCGAGAGAUCGGAUUGGCAAUUUUUUUAAGUAAUUGCGAGUCGGAUUUCGAACUUGAAAAUCACUAAUUUCACGGCAAUUUCAUAUCGGGAGCUUCAAUCUUUCAUUAAGGAACAAUUAUGCUAAAAAAAAAAGAAAGUAAAAUAAGAACAAUAAAAAAAUAAGAUAAAAGCAAAAACUACCUAAAUUGAUUUUGCUUUUUUUUUUCGCUUUUUCACCCGAGACUUGACAGCUCGUGCGGCUUGUGGUGGGUCACCGUCGGUCCUGCAAGGGCGGCGGGCGUCGGAGCUCCGGCGAAGGGCGGCAGGCGGACCGGCGGCAUCAACAUUGACCAGCGGGCAGGGGGGGUGCUGUCCGGCUUCUGGGAGCAAGCUGCAGCUGGUUCGUCGCUCGGGCGUGCAUCGGGUCGCCGGGAGCAGCAAAGCGUCGGACCUCGGCGACUGGUCCUGGGUCGCGGGCAGAGGAGCCGAGUCGGGCUGUCAAGCGCGGCCGUCGUUGCUGGGCUUCAGGGAUUCGACCGGGAGUCGGUGCUGCUCGCGGAGGGCGUCGAUGAAGCAGGAGCAGAAACGGCGUCGCGGGUCGAACAGGGGCUGCGACGUCGGGUGGCUACGGGCAAGGGGCGUCGGGUCGCUGGUGUCGCGAUCUGCAGCGGUGGUGCAGAUCUCGGAGGGGGGGAGGGGGCGCUGCUGAGCGUCGAUCGAAGGCGGAGGCUGGCUUCGGGGUCGGCAGCAGGUUCUGGCAUCGCGGGUCAGUGGAAGCUUCACGGGCGCCGGUCUGCUGGCGUCGGUGACGGAUCUGCACGCGGCUGGGAGCGAAGCAAGGGCUUGGCGAACAGGCGGUGGUGCUGGUGCAAUGGUGGAGCGGCAAGGGGGGCGGCUCCGGCGGUGGCUGGCAGAGCGCUCGCGGGUUCUGCAGGUGGAGGCGCGGGCUCGCGGGUGAGAGUCUGGCGGCAGGCGGAACGGCGGUGGCCGGCGAGGUGGCGGGCUCUGGCGCGGCGCGGUGGGUGGCGGCAACAGACGCCGGCGGGGAGAGUCCACGAAGAAAAAGAACAAUCCUCCUUCUUUUCCCUUUUUUAUUUUUUUUCUCUCUCUCACCUGUCCCCUCACGUCUCCUCUCUGUCCCUCUCUGCAGCUAUACCCUUCUG